UAAGCGGAGGAGAAGAAACUAACCAGGAUUUCCCUAGUAACGGCGAGCGAACCGGAAAGAGCCCAGCUUGAAAAUCGCGGCGCUUCGCGCCUCGAAUUGUAGUCUGGAGAAGGUCCCUCUGCGACGCGCCGGACCCAAGUUCCCUGGAAAGGGACGUCAUCGAGGGUGACAACCCCGUCCGCGCCCGGAACGCGUCGCUCCACGAGGACCUGUCUGCGAGUCGGGCUGUUUGGGAAUGCAGCCCUAAGCGGGAGGUAAAUUCCUUCCAAGGCUAAAUAUGGGCAAGAGACCGAUAGCGAACAAGUACCGCGAGGGAAAGAUGAAAAGGACUUUGAAAAGAGAGUUAAAAAGUGCUUGAAAUUGCUGGGAGGGAAGCGAAUGGAAGCUGCGGGUGCGCCCCGGUUGGAUGUGGAACGGCUUCGGCUGGUCCGCCGCUCAACGCGGGGCGCUGGUCAGCGUGGGCCACGGCGCCGGGACAAGAGCGGGGAUUCGCUUCCCGCCUAUGCCGGUGCGGUGGCCGAGGAACGAAGCGCGCGCCUCACGGCGUGGGUUCGCCCAACUGCGCGCUCGGGACGCUGGCGUAUUGAGCUCUUCAUCCGACCCGUCUUGAAACACGGACCAAGGAGUCUAACAUGUAUGCGAGCCGGUGGGCGGCAAACCCAUUGAGGCGCAAGUAAACUGACAGGUGGGACCCCGACCGCAAGGGAGGGAGCACCAUCGACCGACCGUGAUCUUCUGUGAAAGGUUUGAGUGUGAGCAUACCUGUUGGGACCCGAAAGAUGGUGAACUAUGCCUGAGCAGGGCGAAGCCAGAGGAAACUCUGGUGGAGGCUCGUAGCGAUACUGACGUGCAAAUCGUUCGUCAGACUUGGGUAUAGGGGCGAAAGACUAAUCGAACCAUCUAGUAGCUGGUUCCCUCCGAAGUUUCCCUCAGGAUAGCUGGAGCUCGUGUACAAGUUUUAUCAGGUAAAGCGAAUGAUUAGAGGCAUCGGGGGUGCAACACCCUCGACCUAUUCUCAAACUUUAAAUAGGUAAGCCGCCGGGGUUGCUUGGUUGAACCCCGGCACAGAAUGAGAGCUCCAAGUGGGCCA
rnacentral:rRNA from 1 species